UAUUAUAAUUACUAAAAUAAUAACGAAAAUAUCGAAGAAGAAAAAGCUACCUAAAAUAAAAAGUUUAUGGAAGAUUAAUAAUACUAAAAUACUUAAAACUCUCAGAUUUACACAGAAUAAUAACUAUACCAAAUACGAAAGUUAUGUAUUACUUAAAUAAUGUUAUGAAACAUUGUAAAAGACUGCUCAUGUUAUCGAUGAAUACUUAAAGUAAAGAUUUUGGAUGGAGUGUAUUGAAGCAGAUAUUCUAUGGCCAGAUGCCUUUCCUGCAACCAACCCUCAUCUGUUUCUAAGUGAGAUAAUAUUUUCCUAUGGACAGAGAAGUUUUCACAGAAUAUUGGAAAUGAAUGAUACAACUUGCAUGACAAUAACACAAGAAGUUGAAAAUUUUUUUGACCCAUGACACUGCAUGGACCCUAAGUAAGGCAUGUGUAAAAUUUGAAUGAUAUCUGUUGGGUAGUUCUUGAGUUUUAGGGAUGCACACAUACAGUCAGACAGACAGACACACAUUCUCAGUUUUACAGAUAUAGAUGUAUGUAUGUAUGAAUGUGUGUGUGUGUGUGUGUGUAUACGUAUGCUUGCAUAUGCAUGUCUGUGUAUGUGUACCUUUAUCUAGACAUCACAUGAUGGUUGUAAAUGAGUAUCAUCAUCUUUUAAGCGAGGUUGUUCAUGAAAAUCACAUCUGGCCAUGAAGAAAUAUUACCUAGUUUGAAAUGCGGUGAGGGUUGGUGACAGGAAGGGUAUCUGGUAGUAGAAAAUCAACUAAUUUGUUUGACCCGUGCAAACAUAGAAAAGUGGAUGUUAAACGUUGUUGAUGAUGAUGAUAUUGAUGAUGAUUACCUCAAAAGUAAUCAUCGUGUUUCAAGGGAAUCUAAUUAAAUACAUUCUGUGGAACAUAACAA